GCAUCCAUAGCUCAGCAGGAUAGAGCAACCGCCUUCUAAGCGGUAGGUCGGAGGUUCGAAUCCCCCUGGAUGCGCCA
rnacentral:tRNA from 1 species